AUGGGCGAAAGCCUGACGCAGCCACGCCCGCGUGCCGGAUGAAGGCCCUAUGGGUUGUAAACGGCUUUUAAGCAGGAAGAACGACUGGAUUUCGAUCUGGUGUGACGGUACUGCUUGAAUAAGCACCGGCUAACUCCGUGCCAGCAGCCGCGGUAAUACGGAGGGUGCAAGCGUUGUCCGGAAUCAUUGGGUGUAAAGGGUGCGUAGGCGGGCGUCUAAGUCUGGGGUGAAAUCUUGCCGCUUAACGGUAAAAUGGCCUUGGAUACUGGGCGUCUUGAGUGUAGAAGAGGUAAGUGGAAUUCGUAGUGUAGCGGUGAAAUGCAUAGAUAUUACGAAGAACAU
rnacentral:rRNA from 1 species